rnacentral:pre_miRNA from 1 species
CAAGGAACGGAAAUGAGCCGUUGGUUGACUUAACUUCAGCGUUUCAUACGUUCCUUA